CCUACGGGUGGCAGCAGUGGGGAAUCUUGGACAAUGGGCGCAAGCCUGAUCCAGCGACGCCGCGUGGGUGAUGAAGGCCUUCGGGUUGUAAAGCCCUUUUCUCGGUGACGAUGAUGACGGUAGCCGAGGAAUAAGGACCGGCUAACUCCGUGCCAGCAGCCGCGGUAAGACGGAGGGUCCUAGCGUUGUUCGGAAUUACUGGGCGUAAAGGGUGCGUAGGCGGCCAUUUAAGUCGGGUGUGAAAGCCCGGGGCUCAACCCCGGAACGGCAUCCGAGACUGGGUGGCUUGAGACCGGGAGAGGAGGGUGGAAUACCCAGUGUAGAGGUGAAAUUCGUAGAUAUUGGGUGGAACACCGGUGGCGAAAGCGGCUCUCUGGCCCGGUUCUGACGCUGAGGCACGAAAGCGUGGGGAGCAAACAGGAUUAGAUACCCUAGUAGUC
rnacentral:rRNA from 1 species